rnacentral:rRNA from 1 species
UACGUAGGGGGCGAGCGUUGUCCGGAAUUACUGGGCGUAAAGCGCACGUAGGUGGUACGUCAAGUUCGGCGUGAAAUCUCCAGGCUCAACUUGGAGGGGUCGUCGAAGACUGGCGAACUAGGGUCUGGCAGAGGCCGGUAGAAUUCCCGGUGGAGCGGUGAAAUGCGUAGAGAUCGGAAAGAACACCAACGGCGAAAGCACUCUGCUGGGCCGACACUGACACUGAGAGACGAAAGCUAGGGGAGCGAAUGGG